GUCCUUCCCCCAUCCUCGGUCGCCAGCGCUUCUCCGGCAGCCUCGUCCUGAAAUCGUGCGAUUGUGAGCUAGAAGCCUUCUGGGUCACUCAUAAACCAAAGAGAAAAUAAGGCAGCACAUAUUUCCCAUAGAAAUGUGGAAUGUAAGAAAGGCACAUAAAGCAAUCCAAGUUGCCUGCAGAUAUCCACAGCCUACUUCAGUCUCAGUAAUGCUCUUUUAACCUGGUGCAUCAGUUUAAGGGAAGACAUGAGAUCAUGGGUUUAAGUGAGGCUUCAUCAUGCCAAGACAACGUGAUCAGUUAUUCCCAACCUAUAUAACUCACAUACACUGGAGGAAAUAUCUUCAUGGAAUUAAAACCACAUGGAGUAACAUUUCACGUAAGCAGAAUUCAGGAAUGAUUUCAGUAAUUCCAUCCCAAACACACACAGGCAAAGGGAGUGAAGAUUUCUUCAGCAACAUGGUGGCAGAAAGAUCAUGAAAAGAUCUAGGCCAGUCCAAGCUCACUGCAGUUAAAUCUUCAGUCUCCAGCACUGCACUUGGGAAAGCGUCAAGGAGUUGAAUGUAUAUGUAAUUGGAGUGCCAGAAGAAGAGAACUGAGAGAGAGGGGCAGAACAGCUCAUGAGGGGGAAAACCCACUACAUACAAACAAGAAUACUGCAGACUCCUCAUCAGAAUCUAUGCUACCUGUAAAGGCUUGUAAAAGCACAGAGCUGCUCUCACCAUGCAGCCAAAGAAGAAAUGAGGAUAUCGGUCCUAUAACUGCAAGGAACUGAAUGCUGCCAACCACCUGAACGGACUUGGGCUACUGAGGGAAAAGCUUUGCACAUGGCCAGCAUCAGAAUGUGGAGCAGUCUGCUUGGU
rnacentral:lncRNA from 10 species